rnacentral:lncRNA from 1 species
UUUCAAUUGGAGAUCCUCCCCAUUUGUUUUCUUCUUCUACUGCUUUUGGUCCAGUGCUCUCUCAUUCCUUUGGGGUACUAUGCAUGAGGAAUAAGACUAUGCCUUGAUCAUCUUAUUUUAUGCCCCAUGUUGAUCUCUCUGUCUCUGAACCAUCUGCCAUAGGUCCAGGUCAGCUCUCCUACAAGGCCACUGCCUUUCUGGUCCCAAGAGUCAGUCUCUACUUUUCCUCUGAAUUUCUAACACUUACUUUCUCUGUAAAAUAGGGCGCAAUCUCAGAGGCGUAAGGAAUUCACAGUGCAAACAGUAGCUGGAUAAAGACCCCUUCAUUCUUUGACUGAAGACCACCCUGGAGAGAAGAUAAUGGGACCAAAGAAGAAUCUGGGCUUCAACCAAGGGGGAAAAAAUGCAAGGACUGGCAACAGGAUUGCAGCCAAUACCAUAAAAGUUCUUCAGGAAUCUGAGAUAAUUAGGCAAUUAAUUUUUCAUGGACAUAACUUUACUCCCACUUUAAAAAUCAGCUUUUCUUGUUACAGAGGUAAAAUUCAGUAUGACAAAUAGAAACUCAAAAGGAAAUAUUGAUUUCCAUCAUGGUCAAAUGAGUUGUCCUUGGCCUUUGGAACACUUGUCCUGGGUCAGAUGAGAUAAGGAAUUUCUCUGGAAUGAACUACCUUCCUCCUCUACUCCUGCACAAUCUAAAUAGAGAUGUCUUUCCCCCUACAGAAUUCUUACCAUGAAGACCUUAGAUGAUGUUCUUGGAAAAAUGUGCCCUUGAAUUUGUACUUUUCCCUCCAUUUGACCAAAUAAUGACAUCUGUCUUCAUCCAUUCAUUCUCCAUCCCCCUACCUGUCCCUUUCAUCACUCAGAAUCGUGAGUUGACUUCAGUUCUGUCCCUCAAUUAGCUGAAAAAAGUAUCACAAGGUCAAAGAUUUACAACUGGAUGGCAGUGCCAUCUAUUUCAACCAGAUCAUUUUACAGAUGCAGAUACUGAAUCUUAACAUGGUUAAGUUACUUCCUA